ensembl:lncRNA
AGAGAGAGAGAGAGAAUUUGGCUCUGUCGUAGUAAUGCAGGGUGAGGGAUGCAGGACAGAGGAGUGUGGCAGAAGCACUAGGAUGAUAAUUUUUGCACAGCUAGAAAUGCAGUGAGUAACCUAGUCUGUAAUUUAUACAAUUUGUGUCUUCUCCUUCUGUCAUUGGUUCUUUUUCUUUACAUCUCACCUUAAAGAUACUGUCUUUUGUAUGUAACCUGGGAUGCCACCAGCAUCCAGAAAAGCUGUGAUAUGGUCUGUACUUAAACAAGAAAAUGUCUUCAAAGCAGAAUGGGAAGUGAUGGACAGUUCAGAUUCUCAAAGAGACAAGACUUGCUUGGAUUUGUUCUACUUCACUUUUCUCUUCGUUGUCUGCAGAAAGAUCCUAGUGUGACUUGGAUGCUUGGAUGUAAAUGAAUAUCUUGCAGCAGUUACACAAAACUGAUGCGGUAACAACAACCCAGAGCCUGCUCUGCCAACAGCCCAUCUCCUUCUCCAAAGCUUCACCACCCAUGUGGGCCCUGACCUUUGACGUCUGCAGAUGGACCUCGCGCUCCUCAGCUCACACCUGUUGGUAGCCAGAGCCAACAAGAGUCAGGAGCAGCACCAGAAGAUCUCUUGGGAUAAGGAUGAUAUAGUGUUCCUUCUAAAAUCCUACCAGCUUUACAACUGUAGUAGCUCCAUGAUCAAGAAGAGCAGCUUGGAAAAUCUCUCCUCCAGAACAUACUUAUGAUUAGUAUCUGCAUUUUGCAUUGCCAGGUCUCCCAGCUUAUGCCACCAAUUGGCUACAGCCACCCAAAGGGCAGAGAUUGGAGGAGGCACUGUGGUGAAUUUUUAAUUUGUUGUGGAUACAGAAGACAAGAGUUGGAACUGCUGUUCUGGAGAAGAUCUGUUAGCCAGAGCCCAACUAGGAACCAGGGAAUUGGCUGAUGUAGUCACCAAGCCACUCCUGAUGAAAUUUGAAAAGUCGUGGUGGUCAGGUGAAGUCUCUGGUAACUGGAAAAAAAGGCAAUAUCACACUCAUUUUUAAGAAAGAAUGGCUCGGUGAAUCUUCAGCUCUAACGGGAAAGAUAUGAAGAAGAAAAUGCCUGUUCUGGCUUCAAAAACUUUCUCUCAUCUCUGCUUGACAGAUGCAGUCAUGUCUGUGGGCUGAGCUCAACAAGAGAGCAUUUCAAUUGCAUGCAGUAAUAUUUCCCCUAACAGCUUAUUCACUUAGAGCAGCUCCCAUGAUGUGCAACUCCAUCCAUAGUAUAUUCAUUUAGUUUUCAAAUGUAACAGAACUUGCUUUACAUUUGCAUGCAUUUGAAUUUCAAUGUUGACAUGAAAAAUACUGGAACUAGUUAUAAAAGAACAGACGUAUUUGCCCACUUACCUUUUUUAUGACUAAGAAAUCCCAUUGAGAAACUGCAGUGAUUGGCAGCUUCUGAUAGUUACUUAAAAAGAGAUUAAGGUACUUCGGCUGGGGCCAACUUAUAGCCUUCUGCAGGCAAUCAAAAUUCCCAUGAAAUCAUUAAGACCAGUAAAGAGGCUUACUUCCCUCCCAUUUACCUCAAAAUCUACAGUUCCCAGCUGUAUCUUUACAACUCUCACAAACUAUUCUCAGCAAAAUGGGCACUUCCCUGUGCUCCUCAGAUGCUUUCUGACAGGUGCAUUAAAUACCGAUUCUCACUUCCGUAGACCAGGCACUAAAAAUGGAUCUCUGUCUGUAGAGGGAGAAUAUUGGUGAGAAACUGGAGAGUUGUCAAACUCAUACAGGAACAGUCAACAUGUUAUGCACCAUGCAAAGGUGUAUAUGAAAACUGUAUAUGUAAAGUUGGAACACAUUGUCCAGAGGGAUUCCAUAAUGUUCAUCUUCAGAGGUUUAUAGACUUGCUUAGAUAAAGCCUUCAGAGGUCUGACCUUGUUUUCAGCAUGUGUUGUGUUAGAGGCCUUUUGAGAUCCCUUCUGACAUAAAUGAUUGCCUAAAUGGUGCUUCAGUUGGAUAAUUUAUUACAGUGGUACGUUUUACUUUGAAAUUUCAGUGGAAAUUCUCCAUAGAUUGCCAUGUCUGCUUCUUUUUCUUUUCAAAAACUGUAGCAAUUUCUCUUACAUGAAUUACUUUUGUUUCCUUCCCCACUUGAUAUGCUUUUCAUUUAGGGUCAAAGAAACUUCUACCUUUUAUCCCAAUAUUGUGGUACCUUGUGGCAAUACAAAUUUCAGCUAGACUCUCCCAGGUACUCCUCCCUCCUCCUUCUCCUAUCACUUUAUCUCUAACAUUUUCAAAUCUUGUGACAUGAUCAAACUCAUUCAUAAAUAUACCUGGCCUCUAAAUCAGUAGAUGUCAUUGUUCACUGUAGCCUUUACACGUGAUCUGCUAGAAUCAGUGGGAGUAGCUAAAAAAAUCUUCUCUUUUUUCUUUUUUCCUCCUCAAGGUUUCUUAUAGUUAUUAAUGCUGUUGUGAAAGAGCCUGCAAGACUCGUUUCUAUCUUACGCACAUGAAUCUUUCUUAUGCUAUAUUUCUGCGUUAGUGGGGCAAAAGUCUUUUCUCUGCCAUACUAUGGAGAUUGUCAUAAAAUGAUGGUGAUUUAUUUUUCAUGCUACUGCUCAUCAAGCAAACAAUCAUUUACAUGAAAAUUUACAAAUGUCUUCCAUGAAGUCACCCCAGGGCUUCACCAAAAUCACUACCAAUCAGUGACAGUAAAAUAAUAAUGUAAAUUACAUGAGGAGACUUUUCAUAUAUGUUACAAAACUUCACACAGACAGUGAAGAUGCAUGGUCUCUAGUGCUCCUCUUUUCAUUCUUGCUCCACUAUAUUACUGCCUUAAAUAAUGGAGAACCAUCACUGUAUAAGCUCUCCAGCAGGCAGCCAACAUCUGCCCAGCUAAAUAGAGCUCAAUCCAGGGACUCCUAAUCUGUUAGCUUAGAAUACAUGCUGGACAGAUGUGAUCUAGAUAGAACUUCUACAUAGAAAAUGUAUUAUAGAUAUGAAUAGUAAAUUAUGUUGGCUUAAUAAACAAUUAUUAAAAAUAUCUUUACAGAGUCAGUGAAUGGCUUUUUGUUUGCAGUGCUCACAUGGUGAAGCAAACUGGAAAUUCUGUGACUGCUUGAACAAUCUUCCAGAAAAAUAUAAUAGAUUAUUCCUGGAAAGGAUUAUUAGAGUCCACAGGACAGCCUGUCUCAGUUAUUCAGAAUGACAUUUUAGUCUCACUGAGACCAAGAGCAGAAUUUCUUGUGACUGCAAAGUUUUUUUUUUAAAUAUUAGAUUUACACUUCUGCUUUUCAAUUUCCCAAGGAUCUACACACUGCUAUGUUGACCAUGCCAAAGAUAGGCUGGAAGGGAGAUGAGGACUGAGUGUAGUUGCCAAGUUUAGAUGGAUUUCAGCAUUAACAAUGCACAUCACCUUAUUAAGUUUGUGGCAAGGUUUUGCUAGCAGGGGACUGCAGGAGUGGCUUCUGUGAGCAGAACUCAGCGCUUCCCCAUGUCAGAGCACAGCAGCUGCUCCAGCAGGUACCUGCCACUGCUAGAGCUUUCAUGAGUGAUGCUGGGUCUACUCAGGGAGAGCAGAUUUAAGAAAGGGAAACACUGCUGCAUUACAGCAAGUGGGAGAGAGGAGUGAGAAAUGGGAGAGAAGCAGCCCUGGAGCCACCAAGGUCAAUGUAGGAGGGCAGGCUGUGCUCCAGGUGCAGAGCAGAAGCUCCCUAGACAGGCCUGUGGUAGACCAGACUGUCCCCCUGCAGCCCAUGGACACCAUAUGGAGCAAAUCUCUGCAUGCAACUAUGGAGGAGACCACGAGCAGUAGAAGAUGGGGUCUGAAUGAACCACAGCCCACAGGUACCCCUCUAGGAGAAGCUCCAGAAUGGAGCAGCAGCCUGUGGGGAGCAGCCCAUAGUGGGACAGUGCAGUUCUGAAGGAUUGGCCCCACGCUAUAGAGCUGGAGCCAUGUUGGUGCUGUGCUUUAAGAGCUACAGGAAGCCCACGCAGGAUCAGUUUGGAGGGAACCCACUCUAGAAUAGAAGCAGAGAGUGACCGUGAAGGAGUGGCAGGGAUGAAGUGUUAUGGGCUGACUGCAGCCCCCACUCCCCUGCACAACUUGAGGGGAGGAGGUAGAAGAGGAUGGAUGGGGGAAGAUGUUUUUAAUGUGUUUGUAGUUUCUCACUGCUCUAGUCUGUUAUCAACUGGCAAUAAUAAUUACAUUAGUCUCCCUAUGCCAAAUCUUUUUUGACUGUGAUGACAAUUGAUGAGGAAUCUACAGGUCCUUAUCUCAACCCAUGAGCUUAUUAUUAUCAUAUUACCUCCCCGUAUCAUUUUGAAGGAGAGAGAAAGCAGCAUGGUGGAGCUUACCUAUCAGUGCUAAACCACCUCUAAUUCACAUACAGAUACAUGAGAAAGGGAAGGUAAUGCCAUGCAGGACACACACAAAAAAAGCAGAUGUAACUCAGUCCUGAGCAAGAUUGCAACUUGAAUGCAUGCUCUCAUUCCAAACUUGUUUUAGACUCUAAGAAAGGUCCAUAAUAUUGAAGAGAGUUUAAAUCUUGGAUGCUGAUUUCCUGGUUCCCAGGGCUUUCUUUUUGGUGAACUACAUAGCCUCUUAUCCCAAAACUCUACAGCAGGGGGGUGGAAAUAAACCAAGCUAGAAUAUGAAAAUAAUACUUUUUGCUAUAUAAAAAGACAAACAAAUUCAUAAAGGGAUAAAGUUCUUUAUCUUAGAAUUCAGAUUUGAAGCAAUCUAUCUCACGCACGGCUGGAAAGGGUACUUGGCAACUCAGCAUUAUAUAGGAGAAUACAAACUGAUAUGGAUGUAAUGCUAUAACUUGAAGGACAGUACAACAAUAAUUACAGCUGAACAAUCCUAGGCUACAGCAAAUGAGAACAAGCCCAAAUACAUCAGCCAUAGACACACAAAUAGAUGAAGAAAACCACUUACCUUUAGAAGACCUCCAGUAGACAAGGAUCCCCAGUAAAAUGUACUUAUCUCCACUGCCAACACUUAAAUGAGGUCUGGAAAGGGGAGGAUCCUGGCUCCACCCCUUCCCUUCACUCAGAUUCAUUGCACGCACCUGCCUUCUUACCAGGUGCUCAAUCACUGGCUCAGGGUUAGCAUUUCUGCUACGUAUGAUCAAAAAAUGUAUGGAUAAUUGUUAAUAUAAACAUAGUCUGCAUACCAAGAUAAAUCGUUUUUUACCCUACCUACUCUUCUCCAUAGGAGUCCUGGGCUGCAUCUGCUUAUUCAGCUUUCUUUGGGCUUGAGGCUACUUGUUCUGCUGCAAAUUAUACCACCUUAUUUUUCAGCUCUACUUGUAUGAUCGAGAAAGGUUAAUGAUCUGACUAAAUUUGGGCAUAUUAAAAAAUGUCUUAAAGUGUGCUUCUUGCUAUCAUUUUCAUGUCUCUGCUCUAAAACACAGAUAGUUAUAAAGAAUAGUUGUCACAUUUCGUAAUUUACUUUUGAAAGAAACUAAUUUCAAUUCUCUUUCCAUUUAGAAAAAGAGAACAUCUUCAGGUGAAAAUUUUGAGACAAAAAGUUCACACUCAGGACAAACCCUGCUUAGUUCAUAGUGGGACAAAAUAAUUAGGAAGCAUAGAUCAUGGUAACCUAGGGGAAUCUCAGUGGCGUACCAUAUAUUUUCAUGAUUUGGAGCAUUUGACACCUUAAUUUCAUUUGAAGUAACUCCAUAACCAUGUUAACUCAGGACUGUAGAAUCAGAAAUGUUGCCAUCUGGCAAGCUUCCUGCUCAUAGUAAAACUACUGCCAACAGAGGAGCAAGUUUGCCAGGGCUUUGAGUCUUGAAGACCUCCAAGGAUAGAGACACAUGACCUGUCUGAAGUACCUGUUCAAAUCGUGAACUAUUCCAUUAGGAAAAGAAAGAUUUUCCUUAGGUCCUUAGCUAUUAGUUUGCAGUAAAUGUGGUGAGGAUAUAGUGCCCAUGCAGGGAGUCUCUGCACCCUUGGUUGUAGAACUUCACAUUCUGUGUUCAGUAUCAGAAAAUUUCUGUUGUUUCAGUCUUUAGACUUAUCAAGGUCCACCUGGACUGAAACUCUGCUGUUUAUUGUGUCUCCUCUAAUUUGUUAUCCACACAUUUGCUGAACAUGUAUUUCAUGUCACUUAUGUUACUUAUAAUGAACAUAAAUGCUUUGCUGGUAUUAACGCUUGCUUUAUUGGUGUAAUGGAAAGUACAUUUCAAUCUGUAAGUUUUGUAACAAAUUCAUAUUUUGAAUUCUGGAAGGUGAAUCUGUAACAUGCUAUGCAGCUUUUGCAAGCAAGGCAAAUAAAGAAACAAAAC